AAAAAAGAGACUGCCACACUGAAUAUACCUGAUUUCAUCUGAUCUCAGAAGCUAAACAGGGUUGGGCCUGGUUAUUACUUGGAUGGGAGAAAAGAGGGACUGUACUGUUUGUUU
rnacentral:rRNA from 1 species